AGCAGCCGCGGUAAUUCCAGCUCCAAUAGCGUAUAUUAAAGUUGUUGCAGUUAAAAAGCUCGUAGUUGAAUUUCGGGGUCAGUAGGUUGGUCAUGCCACUGGUAUGUACUGAUCUUACUGAUUCCUCCUUCCUGAUGAACCGUAAUGCCAUUAAUUUGGUGUUGCGGGGAGACUGGACUGUUACUUUGAAAAAAUUAGAGUGUUUAAAGCAGGCUAACGCUUGAAUACAUUAGCAUGGAAUAAUGAAAUAGGACGUUCGAUCCUAUUUUGUUGGUUUCUAGGAUUGACGUAAUGAUUAAUAGGGAUAGUUGGGGGCAUUAGUAUUUAAUUGUCAGAGGUGAAAUUCUUGGAUUUAUUGAAGACUAACUACUGCGAAAGCAUUUGCCAAGGAUGUUUUCAUUAAUCAAGAACGAAAGUUAGGGGAUCGAAGACGAUCAGAUACCGUCGUAGUCUUAACCAUAAACUAUGCCGACUAGGGAUCGGAUGAUGUUAAUUUUUAAUGACUCA
rnacentral:rRNA from 1 species